CCUUCCCUCCCUCCUGCCGUCCGUCCCCCCAUCUCUGCUCAGCUUCUCCACAGCCUCGGCUCUGACACCUGAAGGGACUGGAGCGGGCGCGGGGAGUCCCGACAGGCGGCGGCGGAGCGGGACGGUCAGUCCAGCGGAGGCCUCCGCAUGGCCCCGCCAUGAGAAGCUGGACCCAGCGACUGGGACCAGGAGCGGGGGUGAGGCUGUUUACCAGGCACCACAUCUUCUGGCAGUGGGCUAUGGCUGAAUAGGAGGGACUCUCUCAACGAUGGGCAUGGGCGGCAAUAGUGGAAUGGCCCACUACAGCCAAUUUCACACCUGCUGGCUUCCUGCACAUGCUGCUUCCUUCAUCCAGCCUCAAGGAGACCACAACCUUUGUCACACCCUGUGCUGAAGUCCUAAAGCAGAGACAGGAGCAGAGCAUGUUGGGUCCUGGAACCUCUUUGCUGGGCCCCCUUCUCCAGACCUUCCCUUGGGCUUCCCACAGUCCCUGGCUUGGAUCUCUACAUGGAAGUGACCAUACAAGGUAUUCCUAUGACAGUCCAACG